AACGAACGCUGGCGGCAUGCCUAACACAUGCAAGUCGAACGAAGGCUUCGGCCUUAGUGGCGCACGGGUGCGUAACGCGUGGGAAUCUGCCCUUGGGUUCGGAAUAACAGCGGGAAACUGCUGCUAAUACCGGAUGAUGACGUAAGUCCAAAGAUUUAUCGCCCAAGGAUGAGCCCGCGUAGGAUUAGCUAGUUGGUGGGGUAAAGGCCCACCAAGGCGACGAUCCUUAGCUGGUCUGAGAGGAUGAUCAGCCACACUGGGACUGAGGCACGGCCCAGACUCCUACGGGAGGCAGCAGUGGGGAAUAUUGGACAAUGGGCGAAAGCCUGAUCCAGCAAUGCCGCGUGAGUGAUGAAGGCCUUAGGGUUGUAAAGCUCUUUUACCCGGGAUGAUAAUGACAGUACCGGGAGAAUAAGCUCCGGCUAACUCCGUG
rnacentral:rRNA from 1 species